GAUGAACGCUGGCGGUAUGCUUAACACAUGCAAGUCGAACGGACUCUUCGGAGUUAGUGGCGGACGGGUGAGUAACGCGUGAGAAUCUGGCUUUGGGUUCGGGACAACCACUGGAAACGGUGGCUAAUACCGGAUGUGCCGAGAGGUAAAAGAGAAAUUGCCUGAAGAUGAGCUCGCGUCUGAUUAGCUAGUUGGUGAGGUAAAGGCUCACCAAGGCAGCGAUCAGUAGCUGGUCUGAGAGGAUGACCAGCCACACUGGGACUGAGACACGGCCCAGACUCCUACGGGAGGCGGCAGUGGGGAAUUUUCCGCAAUGGGCGGAAGCCUGACGGAGCAAUACCGCGUGAGGGAAGAAGGCUCUUGGGUUGUAAACCUCUUUUCUUAGGGAAGAACAAAAUGACGGUACCUAAGGAAUCAGCAUCGGCUAACUCCGUG
rnacentral:rRNA from 1 species